rnacentral:rRNA from 1 species
CGGCCCGCACAAGCAGCGGAGCGUGUGGUUUAAUUCGAUGCUACACGAAGAACCUUACCAGGGUUUGACAUGCAAGUGGUAGGAAACCGAAAGGCGACCGACCCUUCGGGGAGCUUGCACAGGUGCUGCAUGGCUGUCGUCAGCUCGUGUCGUGAGAUGUUCGGUUAAGUCCGCUAACGAGCGCAACCCUCGCUGUGUGUUACAAGUGUCACACGGUACUGCCGGUCUUAAGCCGGAGGAAGGUGGGGAUGACGUCAAGUCAGCAUGGCCUUUAUGUCCUGGGCUACACACACGCUACAAUGGCCAACACAAUAGGUUGCUAAGCCGCGAGGUGGAGCUAAUCCCAUAAAACCGAUCGUAGUCCGGAUCGCAGUCUGCAACUCGACUGCGUGAAGUCGGAAUCGCUAGUAAUCGUGAAUCAGAAUGUCACGGUGAAUACGUUCCCGGGCCUU